rnacentral:rRNA from 1 species
UGGGGAAUAUUGCACAAUGGGCGCAAGCCUGAUGCAGCCAUGCCGCGUGUAUGAAGAAGGCCUUCGGGUUGUAAAGUACUUUCAGUCGGGAGGAAGGUGGUAAGGUUAAUAACCUUAUCAAUUGACGUUACCGACAGAAGAAGCACCGGCUAACUCCGUGCCAGCAGCCGCGGUAAUACGGAGGGUGCAAGCGUUAAUCGGAAUUACUGGGCGUAAAGCGCACGCAGGCGGUUUGUUAAGUCAGAUGUGAAAUCCCCGGGCUCAACCUGGGAACUGCAUCUGAUACUGGCAAGCUUGAGUCUCGUAGAGGGGGGUAGAAUUCCAGGUGUAGCGGUGAGAUGCGUAGAGAUCUGGAGGAAUACCGGUGGCGAAGGCAGCCCCCUGGACGAAGACUGACGCUCAGGUGCGAAAGCGUGGGGAGCAAACAGG